AGUAUAGAGGACAACCGUGGUGAUAACGGGUAACGGAGAAUGAGGGUUUGAUUCCGGAGAAGGGGCAUGAGAAAUGGCCACUACAACCAAGGUAGGCAGCAGGCGCGUAAAAUUACCCAAUCCUGACAGGAGGGAGGUAGUGACAAUAAAAUAACAAUGAAUUUAUGGAAAGUAAGUUGAAUUGGAAUGAGAACAAUAUAAAACCCUUAUCGAGGAACAAUUUCAGGGCAAGUUCUGGUGCCAGCAGCCGCGGUAAUUCCAGCUGAAAAAGCGUAUACGAAUAUUGUUGCAGUUAAAACGCUCGUAGUUGGAAAGAAUAAGUUUAUUUUUUCUUUUUUGUACUUAAAAAAAAAAAUAAAUUUAUUUUAAUAGAAUUCAAAAAAUGGAAAUUUUUUUUUGAAUAAAUUACUUUGAAUAAAUUAGAGUGCUUUAAGCAAAUUAUUUUUUUAUCAACAAAAAAAAUAAAAUGU
rnacentral:rRNA from 1 species